UAUAAUCUCCACCCGGCACAGCCAGAAGAGGACUGGCCACCCCUCAUAGCCUGGUUCCUCUCUAGGUUUAUAAUCUCCACCCGGCACAGCCAGAAGAGGACUGGCCACCCCUCAUAGCCUGGUUCCUCUCUAGGUUUAUAAUCUCCACCCGGCACAGCCAGAAGAGGACUGGCCACCCCUCAUAGCCUGGUUCCUCUCUAGGUUUAUAAUCUCCACCCGGCACAGCCAGAAGAGGACUGGCCACCCCUCAUAGCCUGGUUCCUCUCUAGGUUUAUAAUCUCCACCCGGCACAGCCAGAAGAGGACUGGCCACCCCUCAUAGCCUGGUUCCUCUCUAGGUUUAUAAUCUCCACCCGGCACAGCCAGAAGAGGACUGGCCACCCCUCAUAGCCUGGUUCCUCUCUAGGUUUAUAAUCCUCACCCCGCACAGCCAGAAGAGGA